rnacentral:rRNA from 1 species
GACAGCCAGGAUGUUGGCUUAGAAGCAGCCAUCAUUUAAAGAAAGCGUAAUAGCUCACUGGUCGAGUCGGCCUGCGCGGAAGAUGUAACGGGGCUAAACCAUGCACCGAAGCUGCGGCAGCGACGCUGAUGCGUUGUUGGGUAGGGGAGCGUUCUGUAAGCCUGCGAAGGUGUGCUGUGAGGCAUGCUGGAGGUAUCAGAAGUGCGAAUGCUGACAUAAGUAACGAUAAAGCGGGUGAAAAGCCCGCUCGCCGGAAGACCAAGGGUUCCUGUCCAACGUUAAUCGGGGCAGGGUGAGUCGACCCCUAAGGCGAGGCCGAAAGGCGUAGUCGAUGGGAAACAGGUUAAUAUUCCUGUACUUGGUGUUACUGCGAAGGGGGGACGGAGAAGGCUAUGUUGGCCGGGCGACGGUUGUCCCGGUUUAAGCGUGUAGGCUGGUUUUCCAGGCAAAUCCGGAAAAUCAAGGCUGAGGCGUGAUGACGAGGCACUACGGUGCUGAAGCAACAAAUGCCCUGCUUCCAGGAAAAGCCUCUAAGCAUCAGGUAACAUCAAAUCGUACCCCAAACCGACACAGGUGGUCAGGUAGAGAAUACCAAGGCGCUUGAGAGAACUCGGGUGAAGGAACUAGGCAAAAUGGUGCCGUAACUUCGGGAGAAGGCACGCUGAUAUGUAGGUGAAGCGACUUGCUCGUGGAGCUGAAAUCAGUCGAAGAUACCAGCUGGCUGCAACUGUUUAUUAAAAACACAGCACUGUGCAAACACGAAAGUGGACGUAUACGGUGUGACGCCUGCCCGGUGCCGGAAGGUUAAUUGAUGGGGU